rnacentral:rRNA from 1 species
GACGUAGGGAGCAAGCGUUGUCCGGAAUUAUUGGGCGUAAAGAGCUCGUAGGCGGUCUGUUACGUCUGCUGUGAAAACCCGGGGCUUAACCCUGGGCUGGCAGUGGAUACGGACAGACUAGAGGUAGGUAGGGGAGAAUGGAAUUCCCGGUGUAGCGGUGAAAUGCGCAGAUAUCGGGAGGAACACCGGUGGCGAAGGCGGAUCUCUGGGCCAUUACUGACGCUGAGGAGCGAAAGCGUGGGGAGCGAACAGG